CGUGCCAGCAGCCGCGGUAAUACGUAGGGUGCGAGCGUUAUCCGGAAUUAUUGGGCGUAAAGAGCUCGUAGGCGGUUUGUCGCGUCUGUCGUGAAAGUCCGGGGCUUAACCCCGGAUCUGCGGUGGGUACGGGCAGACUAGAGUGCAGUAGGGGAGACUGGAAUUCCUGGUGUAGCGGUGGAAUGCGCAGAUAUCAGGAGGAGCACCGAUGGCGAAGGCAGGUCUCUGGGCUGUAACUGACGCUGAGGAGCGAAAGCAUGGGGAGCGAACAGGAUUAGAUACCCUGGUAGUCCACGCCGUAAACGAUGA
rnacentral:rRNA from 1 species